CCCGCUGAACUUAAGCAUAUCAAUAAGCGGAGGAAAAGAAACUAACAAGGAUUCCCCUAGUAACUGCGAGUGAAGCGGGAAAAGCUCAAAUUUAAAAUCUGAGGGUCUUACGGCCUUCCGAGUUGUAAUCUAGAGAAGUGCUAUCCGCGCUGGACCGUGUACAAGUCUCCUGGAACGGAGCGUCAUAGAGGGUGAGAAUCCCGUCUUUGACACGGACUACCAGGGCUUUUGUGAUGCGCUCUCAAAGAGUCGAGUUGUUUGGGAAUGCAGCUCUAAAUGGGUGGUAAAUUCCAUCUAAAGCUAAAUAUUGGCGAGAGACCGAUAGCGAACAAGUACCGUGAGGGAAAGAUGAAAAGAACUUUGGAAAGAGAGUUAAACAGUACGUGAAAUUGUUGAAAGGGAAACGCUUGAAGUCAGUCGCGUUGACCAGAAAUCAACCUUGCUUUUGCUUGGCGUACUUUCUGGCUAACGGGUCAGCAUCAAUUUUGAUCGGUGGAUAAAGGUUAGGGGAAUGUGGCAUCUUCGGAUGUGUUAUAGCCUCUUGUCGCAUACAUCGGUUGGGAUUGAGGAACUCAGCACGCCGCAAGGCCGGGUUUUUAACCACGUACGUGCUUAGGAUGCUGGCAUAAUGGCUUUAAUCGACCCGUCUUGAAACACGG
rnacentral:rRNA from 1 species